rnacentral:rRNA from 1 species
UGUCGUCAGCUCGUGUCGUGAGAUGUUGGGUUAAGUCCCGCAACGAGCGCAACCCUUAUUGUCAGUUGCCAGCAUUCAGUUGGGCACUCUGGCGAGACUGCCGGUGACAAACCGGAGGAAGGUGGGGAUGGCGUCAAGUCAUCAUGCCCCUUAUGACCUGGGCUACACACGUGCUACAAUGGACGAUACAACGAGUCGCGAGACCGCGAGGUUUAGCUAAUCUCUGAAAGUCGUUCUCAGUUCGGAUCGUAGGCUGCAACUCGCCUACGUGAAGUCGGAAUCGCUAGUAAUCGCGGAUCAGCAUGCCGCGGUGAAUACGUUCCCGGGA